CAGAAUAUGUACAGACAAAAACAAGUAUGCUAAUGAAAUUUCUUCAAAUACUAUAAACAAUUAGUGAAGACUGCUACUAUAGGCUGCUGCUGUAUUUUUAAGAGGCUCAACUUCAAAUACCUCAACCUUUUAUGGAAAGAUGGAAACACACAACAAACUAUGUUCCUGUGACAGCCGAGGAGGCGGCCCCGCGGGAACCAGGUCCUGCGAGGAGGGCGGUCGGCCGCUCCCUCCCGACUCGCCGGCGGCCCAGGG